rnacentral:rRNA from 1 species
CCGCACAGCGGUGGAGCAUGUUGGUUUAAUUCGACGCAACGACGAACGUAACCUUACCGAGGGCUUGACACUCCCUGACCGCGUAUGAAAGUACGUUUUCACCCUCGGGUGACAGGGAGACAGGUGGUGCAUGGUUGUCGUCAGCUCGUGUCGUGAGAUGUUGGGUUAAGUCCCGCAACGAGCGCAACCCCUACGUUUAGUUGCUAACAGGUGAAGCUGAGCACUCUAGACGAACUGCCGUUGACAAAACGGAGGAAGGUGGGGAUGACGUCAAAUCAUCAUGCCCCUUAUGUUCUGGGCUACACACGUGCUACAAUGGCCGGUACAGACGGAGGCGAAGCCGCGAGGCGGAGCAAAUCCGAAAAAGCCGGUCUCAGUUCGGAUUGCAGGCUGCAAUUCGCCUGCAUGAAGUCGGAAUCGCUAGUAAUCGCAGGUCAGCAUACUGCGGUGAAUACGUUCCCGGGGCUU